rnacentral:rRNA from 1 species
UACGUAGGGGGCAAGCGUUGUCCGGAUUCAUUGGGCGUAAAGAGCGUGUAGGCGGCCAGGUAGGUCGGUUGUGAAAACUGGAGGCUCAACCUUCAGAGGUCGACCGAAACCAUCUGGCUAGAGUCCGGGAGAGGAGAGUGGAAUUCCUGGUGUAGCGGUGAAAUGCGCAGACAUCAGGAAGAACACCCGUGGCGAAAGCGGCUCUCUGGAACGGUACUGACGCUGAGACGCGAAAGCGUGGGGAGCGAACAGG